CAGUCGCCGCGGUAAUACGUAGGUGGCGAGCGUUGUCCGGAAUCAUUGGGCGUAAAGGGAGCGCAGGCGGGCAUGUAAGUCUUUCUUAAAAGUGCGGGGCUCAACCCCGUGAUGGGAAAGAAACUAUGUGUCUUGAGUACAGGAGAGGAAAGCGGAAUUCCCAGUGCAGCGGUGAAAUGCGUAGAUAUUGGGAGGAACACCAGUGGCGAAGGCGGCUUUCUGGACUGCAACUGACGCUGAGGCUCGAAAGCCAGGGGAGCGAACGGGAUUAGAUACCCCAGUAGUCCCUGUCUCUUAUACC
rnacentral:rRNA from 1 species